ACUCAAAUGAAUUGACGGGGGCCCGCACAAGCAGCGGAGCGUGUGGUUUAAUUCGACGCAACGCGAAGAACCUUACCAGGGCUUGACAUGGACUGUUCAGUCCGGGAAACCGGGUGGCCCGCAAGGGCGAAGUCUGCAGGUGCUGCACGGCUGUCGUCAGCUCGUGCCGUGAGGUGUUGGGUUAAGUCCCGCAACGAGCGCAACCCCUGUCGUGAGUUACAAGCUCUCACGAGACUGCUGGUGGCAAGCCAGAGGAAGGCGGGGAUGACGUCAAGUCAGCGUGGCCCUUACGUCCUGGGCGACACACACGCUACAAUGGCCGGUACAGCGCGAAGCAACGUCGCGAGGCGAAGCGAAUCGCUCAAAGCCGGCCCCAGUUCAGAUUGCAGGCUGAAACCCGCCUGCAUGAAGGCGGAGUUGCUAGUAACCGCGGGUCAGCACACCGCGGUGAAUACGUUCCCGGGCCUUGUACACACCGCCCGU
rnacentral:rRNA from 1 species